rnacentral:lncRNA from 1 species
ACACCCAGUGCCGGCUCCGGGCGCGCACACAUGCAGCACCUCCGCCCCUGCGCCGGCUCGGCUCUGGCCACAGCAGCGAGGACAGAGGGGCCCCGGGCGCGGCGGACUCGCGGGCGCACGCUCCCAGGAGCGCGCCGAGAGGGGCGCCGCGGCGCAGGAAACUUGGGCGAAGUUAGUUGCAAGUGCCAGGCGGCUGCCGAGAAGAGCGAGGCGGGGACGCGGCCGGUGCCAGGCCUGCGGCGCCGCGUGGAGGCUGCGCUGCCCUCCGCGGCCGGCGAGCUCCGGGAGCCCUAAGUCGGCAGGCGCGCCUGAAGGGGCUCGGAGCGAACAGAGCCGGCAUGGCCCAGGGGACGGCCGGACGCGGCUCCUCGGCGAGCCGGGAGAACUUCCUCUGAGGCCGGGCGACCAACGCUUGCUCAAGCCUCAUCCACCCUCCUUCCUCGCCCCACCCGUCAGUCCAGCAGCGGGAGAGGAAGACUCGAGAGGCAGGUGCUGCGGGGGACAGCUCCCCCCUCCAAAAAAAAAAAAUCACCCAGCCGAUUGGGGGUUUCCCAUCGGCGCACCCUGCCCGGAGCCAAGAAGACAGGCUGGUGCUGCUGUAUUUGUAUUUAUAUCCAUUGCUGCGCUCUGCGUUCUCGUGGCACGCCUGGACACUCCUCCGCCUCCCCCUCCUCUUCCUCCUCCAGGGCCACCUCCCCGCCUUCCCCACCCCCAUCUGCUUCUGUCAAAUGAGAAAGUCACCGAGGAGAACCCAAACACUCCAGCCGCUGAGAGCCCCCUUUGGCACUUGGCAGCACGCGGCGGCGGGCUCCUCGGCUCAACUUCGAGGAGUCUCCGCGACGCAACUUUUGGGGACGCUUUGCAUUUAAGAGAGAACGACCGAGGAGGAGGAGCGCUCUGCCCGGCCGCCGCUACCUGCGGGGAGCUCACCAGCAAACGCCACUGCAGACGAAGGACCCAAAGAACGUAAAGGGCAAACUGCCGCCGCGGGGAGGGGGCACCGCCGAGAAGUUAGAGUGUCCCAGAGACAACCUGCUCGAGCGCUCGGCCGGAGACACUAAGGCGGCCCGGGGCGCGGCGUGGCCCUGGGCUGGUCCCCCAGCCCCCUCCUCCGGGGCGGGAGCGACGCCGGGGCGCGACGAGCCCCGGCCGGCCGAGCGGGUCUCCGCGGGCAGCCAACAUUGAUUUCCUCCGGGCCGAGGGCGAGGGCCCGGGAGGCGGCGGGCUGCAGCCGCGGCAGGGCGAGAGCAUGUCCAAGCCGGUGGACCACGUCAAGCGGCCCAUGAACGCCUUCAUGGUGUGGUCGCGGGCUCAGCGGCGCAAGAUGGCCCAGGAGAACCCCAAGAUGCACAACUCGGAGAUCAGCAAGCGCUUGGGCGCCGAGUGGAAACUGCUCACAGAGUCGGAGAAGCGGCCGUUCAUCGACGAGGCCAAGCGUCUACGCGCCAUGCACAUGAAGGAGCACCCCGACUACAAGUACCGGCCGCGGCGCAAGCCCAAGACGCUGCUCAAGAAGGACAAGUUCGCCUUCCCGGUGCCCUACGGCCUGGGCGGCGUGGCGGACGCCGAGCACCCUGCGCUCAAGGCGGGCGCCGGGCUGCACGCGGGGGCGGGCGGCGGCCUGGUGCCUGAGUCGCUGCUCGCCAAUCCCGAGAAGGCGGCCGCGGCCGCCGCCGCUGCCGCCGCACGCGUCUUCUUCCCGCAGUCGGCCGCUGCCGCCGCCGCUGCCGCCGCCGCCGCCGCCGCGGGCAGCCCCUACUCGCUGCUCGACCUGGGCUCCAAAAUGGCAGAGAUCUCGUCGUCCUCGUCCGGCCUCCCGUACGCGUCGUCGCUGGGCUACCCGACCGCGGGCGCGGGCGCCUUCCACGGCGCGGCGGCGGCGGCUGCAGCGGCGGCCGCCGCCGCCGGGGGGCACACGCACUCGCACCCCAGCCCGGGCAACCCGGGCUACAUGAUCCCGUGCAACUGCAGCGCGUGGCCCAGCCCCGGGCUGCAGCCGCCGCUCGCCUACAUCCUGCUGCCGGGCAUGGGCAAGCCCCAGCUGGACCCCUACCCCGCGGCCUACGCUGCCGCGCUAUGACCCCGCGGGGCCGCCUCGCGAGGACCGGUGUGCACACGUGUACAUAUGUAUAGGUACGAGCGCUGCGGCCUCCCCGUGCGCCCUCCCGCGACCGGGGGCCCGGUUUGUAUGUACAUAGAAUGUAUAGGUGCCAGGUAGAGGCAGAGAGGCCAGGCGGGGCAGGAGUGGCCAAGCGCGCAAGGGCGCGGGCGAGCAGGCCUGUGAAUUCGCAGGAUCAUUUCAGACCCGCACUUCGGCAGCCAACUCGAAAGCAGGCGGUUGUGUGCGGCAGCAGUUGGCGUUUGCUUUGCACUUCGGAACCUGUUGCGUUUUGACCCACGGAGGUGGAGGAGUAACUUUUUGACAUGUUGGCCUUUCCAGUUUUGUUGGAAGUUUCAUGGUCGGUUUUGUUUUUGUUUCUCAUUCUUCUUCCUCGCCCCUCAGCCCCCCAACCCCCAACCCCCUCCCGGUCCGUGUUGCAUGCACGCUGUUCAAAUGUGAGGUCUGAAAUGGCUGGCACACGGGAAAAGCUGCUUGUGUCAUUCGUUUCUGGGAGUGGGAUGGCUCUGAGCAGCCUCGCCUCCCUGUUUGUACUAUUUGAACUUUGCAGAUCUCUGUUCUCUCAAGCAGAACUCCCAACCAGAUCCAUUCUUGACCAGUGACCGGCUCGAAUCUGGCCUUUUGUGUGAGAUGAUCACGGUUUCUUUUGUUUAUCACGCCAUUUGCAAAUCAGAGCAAGAGCUCUUUCUCAAGGGCAAGAAACGCAAACAAGAAAUAUUUGUGAGAUGAAAGUUGUCAAUUGGAUUUUCUUCCUAAACAAACAACAACAACAAACUACUAGAAGUCUCCCUGAGUCCACUCGCUUGGAUUUCUGACACAGUUUACAAAAAAGGAAAAAGGCACUGCUCCUAUUUUCCCUUAUGGCUGAGUUCACCUUAAGAUUGUAAAUGUGUAUAUGUCAGUGAAAACAUUGAGGCUUGGAAAAUGUGUUAUUUUCGUUGCCCUAAGUUUGAGUCGACUUUAGACUCAAAAACAUUUUGAGCGAAUAUCAAAGUUAACUUUUAAAAAUUGCGAAACUAUUUCAGAAUCGCAAUUUUAUCGAAGAUUAAAUCAGACUUUUUUGUCUGGUAAUUAUAUAUUUAUUAUUUAGCAAAACUGAAGAAAAAAAGCACAGAAUUGUUUCAACAGAUGUCUCUCAUUUUCAGCUAGCAUUUCUCUCCCAAGUUGAGCUGGUUUAAUGUGUUUUGGAUUUCCCUCCUCAAUUGGCUUAUUUUUUAGAUCACCUGCAAUUCAUUUGCAAAUUGCAAUAAAACACAUUUUAGAAAAAAGGAACCUUCAAUUAUUAGCUUUGUUUCUUUUUAAAUGUAUAUAUUUUGACUAAUGUUUGUGAAUGAAGUUGGCUAACAUGUAUUUAGUUUCAUUUUGGCUUUAUGUAAUAUAAAGUUUUUAAAAUUUUAAAUAUGGUUUUAACCUUUAUGUGUAAAUGAUUUUCUAGUGUGACCUUCUAAUUUAAUAUUAGACGUCUAAGGUAUAUCUGUAAAUUAGAAUCCGACUAUCACUCUGUUCAUUUUUUUUGAACAAAGAGUUUAAAUAAAGCCUGAACCAGGGAAAAGAAAAAUCUUCUAUUUCUUGUUGAGUUCCUAACAAGAUUUUUAUCUGAAUUGCCCUUACGUGCCUGGUCCAGGUGAAGUGUAAGGUAUCCUCCAAAGGCACCCUUUGUUUCACUUUUGAAUAGAUUUACUAGGAAAUCUAAAUCAAGCCAUUGUUAUUCAGAGCCAAAAACCUGAUUUAUCACAUUUUUAAUCGUGAAUAGGAAAGAAGAUUUUUAAAAAGCCCAAGUCGUUGUAUUAGCUUUAACAACAACAAAAAAAAGGCAUUCAUGAACCAGUAGAACAGAGCCCAUUGAAAACAUCCAGACCUUUCAAAGCAUUUCACCAGUUUCUAGUAACAUUUUAAGAGGGGAAAGUUGCUUGACCACUUUAUCUUGUUAGUUGAAGAGCCCCACCACUUAAAUCAGUGUAAUUUGUUCUCCUAUCUUUGGGGUAUUCCUUGUUGACACCUUAAGGUUUUAUUUGGAAGGAUAAUCACUACUAACGACAAAGUACAAAUUUUGGCCUCUUUAGGACUUAAUUUUGUUAUGCUAAUCGCAUUAAAGUAGAAGUAUAACAUUCAAAUGGAGAGGGUUGGAUUUCUAGGGCUAGACAAAUUGCUACUAAAGUUUGAAAAAUCAUAAAGGAUUUUAAUUUUAGACAAGAAAUAGAAGACUGUCAGAAAAAAAAAAAUAGGAAGAUCUCGCCCCCCCGCAACCAAAAUGGAAAUUCUCAAGAUACUAUAUACAAGUCUUAAACCAGUUUCCCCAUUGAGACCAUCUCUGGAGCUGCACGUCUUUAUAAACGACCCAAGUCUUUAAAGUCAUUGUUUUCCCCCAACGGAAUAAUAUUUUAAAAACCAUGAAAAGUUUUGGAAAUGUGAGAAAUAGGCUCUGCUGGUUUGACCCUGAUUCACUAAUUAAAAUGAUCCCUCUCCUGUUAUUCCCUGAGCUCUUUGCAAUAUUAUAAGUUAAUUCAUAUGGUUCUGAGCGAUUAUGCAAAACUAAUUUGGACUGUCCAGGGGUAAUUAUCCCUGACACGGUUAAUUAAAUCCUUUCAAGGCUUCGUCUUUCCCUUUUGUAGCAGCCCAUCCCUUCUCAACACGGAACUUCCUGCGGCUCGCUGGAAAUCACCCCAGCCCUAAAUCUUAGUUACCACCCUGAGCCUUCCAGCUCGGCCGCCUCCUCGGCCUGAAGACUCCCCGCCUCCUCCCGCCCCCUCCCCUUUUCCCAAAGAUCAGCGUUUUCUGGGAGAAACGCUCCGGAGUUGUUGAUGAAUGAGAAGAGGACUGGAAAGAUGGCUCUUGUUCUAAGGGAAGCAAGCUGCUCCAUGGAAAGACCCACAGGGCAAGAGCUGAUGUAUCUGGCCAAAGGACAGCAAAGACUUGAGGCCUGUCAGCAGCUAAGUGAAAAAGUCACCCGAUCAAACCUUGAGAUGACUACAGCCCCAGGUGGCACCUUGAUUGCAGCUUUGGAAGAGACCCUGAGCUAGAGGAUACUCAACAGCAAGGCCCCCUGGAUUCAAAACCCACUGAAACCAUAAGAUAAUCUGUUUUUGUUGUUUUAAGCCAUUAAGUUUUGGAGUGACUUGUGACACAGCAAGAGGUAGUGAAUAUACUGUGUGAUGUAGUCAAGGACAUAGCUCCAGAAAAAUCUCUCCCCUUUCUCUUGCAACAUCAAACCAAAUAGCCUGUAGUCCCAAUUAUUUGGGAGGCUGAGAAAGGAGGAUCACUUGAGCCCAGGAGUUCUGGGCUGUAGUGCACUAUGCCCAUUGGAUGCCUGCAAUAAGUUCAGCAUCAAUAUGUUGACCUCCUGGUAGAUAGGGACCACCAGGUUGCCUAAGGAGGGGUGAACUGGCACAGGUUGGAAAUGGAGCAAGUCAAAACUCCUGCACUGAUGAGUAGUACGAUUGCACCUGUAAAUAGCCAAAGCAAUGUAGCCUGGACAACAUAGCAAGACCCCAUCUCUUUAAAAAAAGAAAGAAAAGAGAAAGAAAGAAACCAAACUUUUUCUUCCCUACUGAAUCAUUUUUGCAGCAUAAAAUAUUUGUUAUUUCCUCUUUUUUAAAAAACCUCUUGGUCAAGAGUGGUGGCUCAUGCUUGUAAUCCCAGCACCUUGGGAGGCCAAGGUGGGAGGAUUGCUGCAGCCCGGGAGUUCAAGACCAGUCUAGGCAGCAUAGAAAGACUUCAUCUCUACAAAAAAUAGAAAAUUAGUUGGGUGUUGGUGGUGUAUGCCGGUAGUCCUAGCUACAUGGGAGGCUGAGGCAGUGAGGCAGGAGGAUGGUUUGGGUCCAGAAGGUUGAGGCUGCAGUGAGCCAAGAUCCCUGCCACUGCACUCCAAGGGGAUAACAGAGUGAGACGCUAUCCCAAAACAAACAAACAAAAACCAAACCAGAACAAAAAACUCCCAGGACCUCAUUUUUUCUCUUCUCUGUUCCCUUUUACAAUGAAUUCCUUAAAAAGAAAACAUGUCUAUAUUCCCUAUUUCCCUGUUUUCUCUUUUCUCUUGAAAUCCCUCCAGUUAGAGUUUGCCUUCCCUCCCCAACUCCACUUCACCAAAACUUGCUCUGAUCGACUCCCCUGUUGCUAAAUCGAAUGGUCAGUUCUCAUCUAACUUGAUCCAUCAGCAGCAUUUGACAGAGUUGAUCAUGCUCUCCCCAGGAAAUUUUACUUGGUUUUGAGAGCUCCACCCUCAGUCUUUCUACUGCCUCAUUGGAUGCUCUUUGCUGUUCUCCUUUCCUGGUUCCACUCCUCUCCAACCUUUUAUUGAGUUUUAUCAAGAAAGAUAGGAAUUCAACUGGGUGUGGUGGCUCAUGCCUAUAAUCCCAGCAUUUUGGGAGGCCAAGGCAGGAGGAUCACUUGAGCCCAGGAGUUUGAGAACAGCCUAGGCAACAUACGGAGACCCUGUCUCUACAGAAUAAAAGAGGAGGAGGAGAAAGAAAGAUAGGAAUUCAUUUAAUAGUCUCCUAUCUUCAAGCAAGCUGCAAUUGUCUUUGAUAUUAUUUAACAGUUUCAGUUGAAGCCAAUAUGCUGUCAAUCACAUAUCAUUGUAACUAGCAAUAUUUAUUUGUCACUAUGAGCAAGGGUAAGCUGCAAAAACACAUAAGCCCCAAAUUUCAAUGACUUAAUAUAAAAAGUUUAUUUUUUACUCCAGCAGGGGCUGUGCUCCUCCCGGCUGGUGGAGAUUCCAUCUUAAUACAUGCUUCUCUGACCACCUGAGCAGGGGAAUACAGCCUAACAGUCAUAUGCUAGCUCUUAAAAUUUCUCACCAAAAGCAAUACUCAUCACUUCUGCUCACAUUUCGUUGGCCAAAGUGUGUCUUAUGGCCACAUCAAAUCUCAAAGGGGGCACAGAAUGAUAAUCCUACCACAUACCGAGAAGGCGGAGAGCCAGAACUAUUUGGUGAACUGCACUACUGACCACCUUCAUAGAUAAACAUCCACUGAUAAACACCCUCAGUCAAAACAAAAACAAAAACAAAAACAAACAAACAAACAUUACAGCCAGGCUUGGUGGCUCACACCUGUAAUCCCAGUACUUUGGGAGGCCAAGGUGGGAGGAUUGCUUGAGCCCAGGAGUUUGAGGCUGCAAUAAGCUAAAAAUUUAUCUUCUCUCUGAAUUCAGCAGUCCCAUUGCUGCUAAGGAGUUCUGGAAGGUUCAUAACAACACCAUAGGACUUGAAACUGUCCUUCUGUAGGGCAUUAAAGAGUUUCUUGUUGUCUGUGCUUGUACUAAAGAAGAAGGAGAAGGAGGAGAGACUGAUAAACUGUAGCCCUAGCUUUUCCUUCCAUCUUUCCAAUCUUAUAUCCACUCUCCCCACACACAUACAUGCAUUCAUCCUUAUAUACACAUCACACUAAAUGAGUCCCUUUCUGGAACUUGGGUUGUAAUUCUCCUACCUGUGUCCCCCACGCCCAUUCCCAAAGUGAUAUACAUCUUUCAAAGUUCUGCCCAAGUCUCACAUUCUCCAUAACUUAUUUUUUUAGAGAUGGGAUCUUGCUACAUUGCCCAGGCUGGACUCACAUUCCUGGCCAGAAGGUGAUCCUCCUGCCUCAGCCUCCUGAAUAGCUGGGACUACAGCUUCAAACUAUUUUGCCUGGCUACCCCAUCAACUUUUGAUGCCAUUUAGGGUUUUUCUUGUCCUUCUAUUUUUUAAAUUAUAUUUUGUUGUUGUUUUUGUUCUAUUAAGCACCUAUUAGCUUAACUGGAUUUAGUGAUUCUGUAUAUGUGUCAUUAUCAGCACAAUUGUGUGAAAAGCAGAGGUGUCUUAUUUGCCUUUGUAUAUCAGUAUAGCACCUUCCCCUUUCCUCAGUGCCUAGUUCAGACUCUGACUCUCAAUAACUAUUUGUAAUAAUUUAUUCUGUCUGUGUUAGUGUAUUUUCUGGUAACUUCUGGACUUACAGACAAUUGGAAACACUUCUAACUUUAAUCAUUCCAAGCUGUCUCUUCUCUUCUGACCUUACUACACACUCACUAGGCACUUUUCAGUCAACUCGAAUCUAAAUGCAAGAUCUAUUCAAAGAAGCCUAAAUCUUAGCAUUCAAAUACUCGAUUAAGUCGUAAGUCCUCUGGGCUCAUGUCUUGUCUUUCUUGUCCAUAUCUUGUUGGGCAUAUAAGGAGGUAAAGGAAGGAGAUCAUUGAAAACACAAUACAAGAGGAACCUGUAUUAGUUGGGAUAAUUAUUGUAAGCUACGAUGACAAAUUACCCCACAUCUCAGUGACUUGACACAUUAAAAGUUUAUUUUUCAUGCAUGCCACAGUCUAAGGCAAGACAUGUGGUUCCCCUCUAAGCAGUGAGUCAGGAUCUAGACUUGUUUUGUUGCUAGGCCACCACCUAGGGUUUUCUGGAUCUGAUUGACAGGCAGUGAUAGCCCAUGGCUCUUGCAGGGCAUUUUAUGCUAAGCCUGGGAAUGGUAGGCUUUACUCCAGCCCAUAUUCCUAUGGACAAUACACCAACCUAAUUGCAAUGAAUGCUGGGAAAUAUAAUUUACUUGUGUGCCAAGAAAAAGAAAAGAAUAUUGGUGAACAUCUCACCUGCUUCUUUUAAAGCCUAGAAAAUCAUUUAUUCACUUUACAAUAUAAAGACACUGCUCCAACACUUUGGUGAACAGAUAGAUUCAAAUCUAUAAAAAGGGUGCAUGGGGAAUUCCUCCAUGUCAACAAUUAAUUCUUGCUCUCCUCUAUUUUUCAUAAAACCCAGAAUUCACUCACUCUUGCCCCCAAAAUCAAGAGCUAGGUAGGGAGCCUCUCCCGUCAGAUAUUUUUUCCUUUUUCCCUAGACUCACAUUACAAAAAACACACUACAACUGUUUUUUUUCCCAGCUCUGCAAAGCAUCAGAAUCAAUGUGAGAUUUUUAACCAUCAUAGACACUCAAGGCUCUCUCAAGGCCUACUGAAUUCAAAUUUUCUAAGACUAGCACUCAGGCACCUAUAUUUCUAAAAUAUUCCCCUGAUGAUUCUGGUACACACCCAGGAUUGACAACCAUUGUUCAGACCUGAGAAAGGAGUGUCCAGUAAGCCCCACAGUCAGAUAAUUUCAAUGUUUUCAUGCUGUAGUAAACUUUCAUGUUUAUUUGUCUUGGCAAAUGCAUUAGUCCAUUUUCACGCUGCUGAUCAAGACAUAGCCAAGACUGCGUAUUUUAUAAAGAAAAAAUUGGUUUAAUGGACUCACAGUUCCGUGUGGCUGGGGAGGCCUCACAAUCAUGAUGGAAGGCGAAAGGCAUGUCUUACAUGGUGGCAGGCAAAGAGCAAAUGAGAUCCAAGCAAAAGGGGUUUCUCCUUAUAAAACCAUCAGCUCUCAUGAGACUUCACUACCACAAGACCAGUAUGGGGAAAACCGCCC